AUACUGACCUGGUAGGGGAGAUACCAUGAUCACGAAGGGGGUUUUCCCAGGGUGAGGCUUAUCCAUUGCACUCUGGAUGUGCUGACCCCUGUGAUUUCCUCAAAUGUGGGAAACUCGACUGCACACUUUGUGGUAGUGGGGGACUGCAUUCGCGCUCUCCUCUG
ensembl:snRNA U1 U1 spliceosomal RNA